rnacentral:rRNA from 1 species
AAGAGGACUCUAUUCAGACUGCCGUUGACAAAACGGAGGAAGGUGGGGAUGACGUCAAAUCAUCAUGCCCUUUAUGACUUGGGCUACACACGUACUACAAUGGCGUUCAACAAAGAGAAGCGAAGCCGCGAGGCAGAGCAAAACUCAAAAACAACGUCCCAGUUCAGAUUGCAGGCUGCAACUCGCCUGCAUGAAGUCGGAAUUGCUAGUAAUCGCAGAUCAGCAUGCUGCGGUGAAUACGUUCCCGGGCCUUGUACACACCGCCCGUCACACCAUGAGAGCCGGGGGGACCCGAAGUCGGCAGUCUAACCGCAAGGAGGACGCCGCCGAAGGUAAAACUGGUGAUUGGGGUGAAGUCGUAACAAGGUAGCCGUAGGAGAACCUGCGGCUGGAUCACCUCCUUUCUAGGGAG